GCCACGAAAUAGCUCAGUUGGGAGAACGUUAGACUGAAGAUCUAAAGGUCCCUGGUUCAUUCGGGUUUCGGCA
rnacentral:tRNA from 1 species